ACCAAACCAAACAGGCAUUAUCCACUUCCGUGCAACUCAGUGUUCACUGGCAAGACGAGUUACUCGCUUGGGAGAGAGAAGACUACGGUGGCAUAGAGGGCUUGCUUUUUCCACAAGAUGAUAUUUGGAAGCCUGAUCUACGUCUAAAUAACUCGUACGACUCCUUCACAGGAUUUGGAUCUGCCGCGCUAACUGUAUGGGUGACUUAUGAUGGCAACGUCAGCUGGUACCCCAUUCAAGCACUUGAAUCACAAUGUUCAAUUGACACCUGGCGUUUCCCAUAUGAUAACCAGACUUGCAGUUUGUUCUUUGAAUCGGCGAACUAUCCCGAAUCGCAGUUGAAGUUAUUGAGUAAAGGAGAAGAUGGCUUAAAGCUAACGUAUUAUAAGGAAAACCCCGAAUGGAAUUUAAC